UACGAAGGGGGCUAGCGUUGCUCGGAAUCACUGGGCGUAAAGGGUGCGUAGGCGGGUCUUUAAGUCAGGGGUGAAAUCCUGGAGCUCAACUCCAGAACUGCCUUUGAUACUGAGGAUCUUGAGUCCGGGAGAGGUGAGUGGAACUGCGAGUGUAGAGGUGAAAUUCGUAGAUAUUCGCAAGAACACCAGUGGCGAAGGCGGCUCACUGGCCCGGUACUGACGCUGAGGAGCGAAAGCGUGGGGAGCAAACAGG
rnacentral:rRNA from 1 species